UCUCUAGUGGUCUAGUGGUUAGGAUUCAGCACUUUCACUGCUGCAGCCUGGGUUCAAACCCUGGUCUGGGAA
rnacentral:tRNA from 1 species